rnacentral:misc_RNA from 1 species
UUCCCGUUAAGAGAUUUAACUACCGAAGCCUCACACAGCGACUCUAAAUCAACUGUGGAGUCUUACCAUAGGUAAAGACAAUACCGCUGAAAUGCUGUGAUCACGAAAGUGUACCAGCAGCCUAAUCCAGGCCCACAGAUCAAGUGGCGGUGGUCUUAGCUACACAGCUUUAGACUAUAAUAUGACCGGUUCUUAUCCUAACGGUUAAGAGCUUUAACGUUCCGUAGGUGAACCUGCGGAAGGAUCAUUAAAGAGUUAGGGUCUUCUAGGCUCGAUCUCCCACCCUUUGUAUAAAUACCAUGUUGCUUUGGCGGGCCCGUCUUUAACCGGACCGCCGGAGGUCAAAGCCUCUGGCCAGCGCCCGUCAGUAGCCCACAACAAAUUCUUUUAACCAUGUAUCUUCUGAAAAUAGUCAAAUAAACCAAAACUUUCAACAACGGAUCUCUUGGUUCCG